GACGAACGCUGGCGGCGUGCUUAACACAUGCAAGUCGAACGGUAAGGCCCUUCGGGGUACACGAGUGGCGAACGGGUGAGUAGCACGUGGGUGAUCUGCCCUGCACUUCGGGAUAAGCCUGGGAAACUGGGUCUAAUACCGGAUAGGACCCUGGGAUGCAUGUCCUGGGGUGGAAAGCUUUUGCGGUGUGGGAUGGGCCCGCGGCCUAUCAGCUUGUUGGUGGGGUGAUGGCCUACCAAGGCGACGACGGGUAGCCGGCCUGAGAGGGUGACCGGCCACACUGGGACUGAGAUACGGCCCAGACUCCUACGGGAGGCAGCAGUGGGGAAUAUUGCACAAUGGGCGCAAGCCUGAUGCAGCGACGCCGCGUGAGGGAUGACGGCCUUCGGGUUGUAAACCUCUUUCAGCACCGACGAAGCGCAAGUGACGGUAGGUGCAGAAGAAGGACCGGCCAACUACGUGCCAGCCGCCGCGGUAAAAC
rnacentral:rRNA from 1 species